rnacentral:rRNA from 1 species
GAGUUUGAUCAUGGCUCAGGAUGAACGCUAGCGGGAGGCUUAACACAUGCAAGUCGAGGGGUAUAAUUAGCAAUAAUUAGAGACCGGCGCACGGGUGAGUAACGCGUAUGCAACCUGCCCUUUACAGGGGGAUAGCCCGUCGAAAGGCGGAUUAAUACCCCAUAAGAUAGUGCUACCGCAUGGUAGGGCUAUAAAAGCUUAGGCGGUAAAGGAUGGGCAUGCGUGACAUUAGCUGGUUGGUAGGGUAACGGCCUACCAAGGCUACGAUGUCUAGGGGUUCUGAGAGGAAGGUCCCCCACACUGGUACUGAGACACGGACCAGACUCCUACGGGAGGCAGCAGUGAGGAAUAUUGGUCAAUGGGCGGUAGCCUGAACCAGCCAUCCCGCGUGCAGGAAGACGGCCCUAUGGGUUGUAAACUGCUUUUGUGCAGGAAGAACGCCAGGUACGAGUACCUGAGUGACGGUACUGCAUGAAUAAGCACCGGCUAACUCCGUGCCAGCAGCCGCGGUAAUACGGAGGGUGCAAGCGUUAUCCGGAUUU